rnacentral:lncRNA from 1 species
AUGAAGAUCGGGAUCGGGAUUGGGAUCUCGAUCAGGGUCAGGAUCGGGAUCGGGAUCGGGAUCAGGAAUGGCAUCAGGAUCAGGAUCGGGAAUGGGAUCGAGAUCGGAAUGGGAUUUGGAUCGGGAUCGGGAUCGGGAUGGGGAAUGGGACAAUGCAGGCUGGAUGGACCGGGAAUCGAUCCCACUGCGCGAUCGAUGGUUCCUGCCCCGAGCUCGGGGCGAGCACCGCCCGCUUCCAGCCGCUUCCUUUCCCUUUAUCCCGGUUUCCCAGGGGAGGAGCCCCCCCCCCCCCCCCCCCCCCCCCCCCCCCCCCCGCUUCCUUCCCCGUUAUCCCGGUUUCCCAGGGGAGGAGCGCUCCGGGAGCGGGGUGCGGGAGCAGCGCCCCCUCCUCCCCGGCCGCCUCCGUCCUCCCUCCCGCCUCACGGAGCGCCCGCUCGGGCCGGCAUCCUGGAAUUCCCGCACGGAUCGGGAGGGUCUGAGCCGCUUUCUUUCCCCUCCAACCUCCCGGGAUGCGCGGGCGGGACGGGAGAGCCGCGCCCCGACGGCAUCGGGAGCACCGGGCACGGGAAAGCGGCGGGGAUCGCCCGCAGGCUGAGCCGCGCUGACGGCUCGGCGUUUUGGGGGGUUAUUUCUGCAUUUUCGGGGCGUAGCGGCGGUGCGGGAGCGGCCGCGGGCGGGCGAGUGGGUGGUGGGCUGGGAGAAGGGGGUGGCGAGCGGGCGGAGGGGGAGGCUGGCAGAAAUGCAAAUCGCUGCCUCUCGCUGUGCCUCGGCAGCCCGGAGCCGCUCGCAGCUCAGCCCCGGCAGGCGCGGGGGCAGCGGGCGGGGUCCCCCCGGUCCCCCCGCCCCUCGGGCGGCUGGCAGGAGGAGGAUGAGGAGCGCCGGGAAGGGCUGCGGGUGGCGGAGAGGCACCUAGGAGAGGGUGAGUGGAGGGGAACAGGGGGACAGGAGAGCGGGGAGGAGGGCGGGGAUGAAAUAGGGAGAGGCGGCGGAGCGACGGAGGGAAAGGAAGGCGAAAGAAAUAAUUGGGAAAGGAGGAAUGAAAGCGGAGGAUGA